AGUGAACGCUGGCGGUAGGCCUAACACAUGCAAGUCGAACGGCAGCACAGUAAGAGCUUGCUCUUACGGGUGGCGAGUGGCGGACGGGUGAGGAAUACAUCGGAAUCUACUUUUUCGUGGGGGAUAACGUAGGGAAACUUACGCUAAUACCGCAUACGACCUACGGGUGAAAGCAGGGGAUCUUCGGACCUUGCGCGAUUGAAUGAGCCGAUGUCGGAUUAGCUAGUUGGCGGGGUAAAGGCCCACCAAGGCGACGAUCCGUAGCUGGUCUGAGAGGAUGAUCAGCCACACUGGAACUGGGACACGGUCCAGACUCCUACGGGAGGCAGCAGUGGGGAAUAUUGGACGAUGGGCGCAAGCCUGAUCCAGCCAUACCGCGUGGGUGAAGAAGGCCUUCGGGUUGUAAAGCACUUUUGUUGGGAAAGAAAAGCAGCAGGUUAAUACCACGCUGUUCUGACGGUACCCAAAGAAUAAGCACCGGCUAACUUCGUG
rnacentral:rRNA from 1 species